AGCAAGGACACCUGCUCCUUAUGUCGGGGGGGUUGCAUAGCUCUGCAAGCAAUGCUUCCCCAUUUUGGCUGCACUUGGAACUUCACUCUAUACUGAUCAAAUCUGAAUGUGUUUCGUCUUACAGGUUGCUGAAGAGCUUGAUGAACUGCUCUCAUGUGUCAAGCUAGAAAAAGGAAAUACAGAGUUCUGGAAGCGUCGUUUCAUGGGAGUAGGCUUCGGUACUGAUCAAGAAAAGGCUGAAGAUGUUUCGGAUAGUGUCACCGUUGAUGUUGCAUAAGAUGUGGAAAAUGACGAAGCUGAAGCUGAUGAUGACGACGACGAAGAUGAUGAUGAUGAUGAUGAGGAUGAUGAUGAUGAUGAUGAGAAGUACCCACAAUUGCGGAUUGUGCCGUGAUUUUGCGUGCGGCAGUAACCAGGAAGGGCUCCUCUGCCGUCAGCUUUCUUGAAGAUCUUACAGACUACGCAUAGUCUUGGUUAUGUAUUCGGCAGUCCCCUUUACGAUGAAAUCAUCUCACUGUGUCUUGACCUCGGGGAGCUAGAUGCAGCCGUUGCAAUUGUUGCAGACAUGGUGACGACUGGAAUCACAGUCCCAUUCGAGACAUUGGACCGGGUGAUUUCUGCUAAGCGGACGACCUGAUUGUACUGUCAAAGGUAGUUGCAAUACAAGGGUUAGAAUUUGUUACAGUUCUCCCUUGCUGUGUAAUUAAACCUAAAUUUUGCCCACUUAGCAGUGUAAGUAAUUGACAGCGAGCCUUGGUGCAACGGAAAAGUUGCUGUUUUGCGACAGAAAAGUUACGAGUUAGAGUUGUGGAAACAAUCUCUUUAUAAAGUAAGAGUACGUAAGACAACAAGGGUACAACUACGUACGACAGAUAUUCCAUUUCCGACUCUCAAUAAGCAGGAAGCCUUGUUAGCUUGGGGUUUCCCUAUUUCAGUAAUGGUAGUAAUUAUUUUCUGUACUCAUUGACUGUUAGCUUAAAAGGCAGUCAAAUUCAGUUGUCUUGGUGCAUAAGACAUAUGAUUGAUGCUUGAUCUUAAAGCAAGCCAAUGAAAAUGUAACUUCAAAGAGA